AACGCUAGCUACAGGCUUAACACAUGCAAGUCGAGGGGCAGCAUUUUAGUUUGCUUGCAAACUGAAGAUGGCGACCGGCGCACGGGUGAGUAACACGUAUCCAACCCGCCGAUAACUCCGGAAUAGCCUUUCGAAAGAAAGAUUAAUACCGGAUGGCAUACGAAUAUCGCAUGAUAUUUUUAUUAAAGAAUUUCGGUUAUCGAUGGGGAUGCGUUCCAUUAGUUUGUUGGCGGGGUAACGGCCCACCAAGACAACGAUGGAUAGGGGUUCUGAGAGGAAGGUCCCCCACAUUGGAACUGAGACACGGUCCAAACUCCUACGGGAGGCAGCAGUGAGGAAUAUUGGUCAAUGGGCGAGAGCCUGAACCAGCCAAGUAGCGUGAAGGAUGAAGGCUCUAUGGGUCGUAAACUUCUUUUAUAUGGGAAUAAAGUUUUCCACGUGUGGAAUUUUGUAUGUACCAUAUGAAUAAGGAUCGGCUAACUCCGUGCCAGCAGCCGCGGUAAUACGGAGGAUCCGAGCGUUAUCCGGAUUUAUUGGGUUUAAAGGGAGCGUAGGUGGAUUGUUAAGUCAGUUGUGAAAGUUUGCGGCUCAACCGUAAAAUUGCAGUUGAAACUGGCAGUCUUGAGUACAGUAGAGGUGGGCGGAAUUCGUGGUGUAGCGGUGAAAUGCUUAGAUAUCACGAAGAACUCCGAUUG
rnacentral:rRNA from 1 species